rnacentral:lncRNA from 1 species
ACCAUAUCACCCUAAACCACCGAAGCCACCGGUGGUGAAGCCACCGGUGGUGAAGCCACCGUAUCACCCUAAACCACCUAAGCCUCCGGUGGUGAAACCCCCAUAUCACCCUAAGCCACCAAAACAUCCCCCGCAUCCUCCCAAGCCACCUGUUGUAAAGCCUCCCUAUGUACCUAAGCCACCUAUUGUAAAGCCUCCACCGUAUACACCCAAACCACCGGUUGUGAAGCCUCCGCCAUAUACACCCAAACCGCCGGUUGUGAAGCCUCCGCCAUAUACACCCAAACCGCCGGUUGUGAAGCCUCCGCCAUAUACACCCAAACCGCCGGUUGUGAAGCCUCCGCCAUAUGCACCCAAACCGCCGGUUGUGAAGCCUCCGCCAUAUGCACCCAAACCGCCGGUUGUGAAGCCUCCGCCAUAUGCACCCAAACCGCCGGUUGUGAAGCCUCCACCAUAUACACCCAAGCCACCUUACUAUCCAAUACCGCCGGUCAUAUCACCACCAACACUGCCUCCAAAGCCACCAGUCUACCCCAGUCCACCAAUAGUGAACCCUCCACCAUAUACACCCAAACCGCCGGUUGUGAAGCCUCCGCCAUAUACACCCAAGCCACCUUACUAUCCAAUACCGCCGGUCAUAUCACCACCAACACUGCCUCCAAAGCCACCAGUCUACCCCAGUCCACCAAUAGUGAACCCACCAACACCGCCGAUUCUGCCACCUCCUAUUGUGAAUCCACCAACACCGCCGAUUCUACCACCACCAUCACCACCUAUUGUGAACCCACCAACGCCUCCUAUCGUGAAGCCACCUUCACCGGGAACACCGUGUCCUCCACCACCACCUCCGGCACAACAAACAUGCCCCAUAGACACUCUCAAGCUAGGUGCAUGUGUGGACGUGUUGGGUGGCUUAGUACACAUCGGCAUAGGUAGCAGCGCCAAAGACACUUG